AUCUUUGCGCUUGGGGCAAUGACGUAGCUAGUGAGGUUCUAAUUGAGGCGCGUCAAUUACUGGCUGAAAACUAUUUCCAAACCCUCUCCUCGACUUUAGUUUUGCUUGAGCCGUCGAGAAUUUCUAAAAGGACAUCUUCUUU